UACGUAGGGGGCAAGCGUUGUCCGGAAUCAUUGGGCGUAAAGCGCGUGUAGGCGGCUCGGAAAGUCGGGCGUGAAAUGCCGGGGCUCAACCCCGGGACUGCGUCCGAUACUUCCGAGCUGGAGGUAGGUAGGGGAGAUCGGAAUUCCUGGUGUAGCGGUGAAAUGCGCAGAUAUCAGGAGGAACACCGGUGGCGAAGGCGGAUCUCUGGGCCUUACCUGACGCUGAGGCGCGAAAGCUAGGGGAGCGAACAGG
rnacentral:rRNA from 1 species